AGAAAGGUAAAUCGAAAUGUCUUAUUGAAUGACAGCCGAAUUGUAAAACAAAAUUUAGAUUUUUAUAUUUUGUGUUUAAGUUUUUAGAAUAAUUUUUUUACAUCUUUACGUUGUGAAUGUAUUUAUAUUUAAUUUAGCGGUUGAAAUAUAUAAAUGUACCAAUCGAGAGCAAGAAAGCCAUCAGCAAAUGUACUGAAGCCAGCUGGAUUGCCGGCACCUAACGAUAUAAAGGAAUGCAAGGUUAAUGUUGAUGAAACACGGAAACGAAGUAAAAGUAAAUAUAAUAUCCCAAAAAAUCUGCGCUACGAUUUAGAAAAUGCGUUGGUUAACUUGUGUGAUGUAUGGUUUGAAGAAAUUAAGCCGUAUUUAGUUCGCAAUAAUGUGAAAGUACACGUUCAAGAUGAUGAAACGAAUACAGCAUCGGGUGGGAAUAAUUACUCAACGCUUGACACCGCAAAGCUGACUAGAAAUCGAAGCGCUAAUCCUGAGAGGACGAAUUGCUCACAUCUUGAUCCAGCCUCGUCUUCAAGUUGGUGUACGCUCUGCCGGUUGCUGUACAACGCGUCGUGUGGCAUCGAGAGCGCGUUCGCACAAGCAGCCGUCGCCGUCCCGCUCACCGCCCCGACCGCCGCCGCGCCCGCCGCCACCCACGCUGCGAAUACCACCGCUACAGUUGUCGGAGAGCCCCAGCAAUGAAAAUAUAAAGAAGUUACCUGUUAAACGUCGUAGUAAGAAGAAGAGGCGCCCCAAUUCGCCGAUAGCACUGCGGAAUCAUAACCGUAUACCAAGACUGUGUAAUACGAUGGACAUCAAUUAUGACACCGCGAAACUUGCCAGAUAUUAAAAACGUUAGUCAGUCUAUAGUAACAUGUCAGAAAAGUUAAAUGAACUCGCGACAAAUAUAUAAACACUUCAAAAUUUUAUAAAAUGUAGUCAAGAAAUACAUUUCCUUUUAUAUCAUUUUGUAAAUAU